rnacentral:lncRNA from 1 species
UUUAAAAGGGCAUUUGACAUCAGUCUCCACCACCAACGUCUAAUUGCAAAGAAAAUCCAUUUUGGCGUUACUUUGAGGUAUUGUCGCAGCUUAUUGACAUCUGGGGAAGGGGAUCUGAUGUUUAAUGUGUAUUAGACGUCAACCCCUUCUGAUGACUUGGGUCCAAGCCCAUCAUGGACCCAUCACUAGAAGCAUGACCCAUCAUAAGGAGAAGGGUAAAUCUGUCCUAAAUGAAGAAUAAAAUUGCUGGAAGCACCCCUCACCUUUGCUAAAUACACCAUGGCAGAAAUCAUUUUCCAGCACAUGUUAAAAACGUUUCUGGAAGCUGAUCACGGAAUUCAUGCAUUGCCACGUGGAAGCUGAUCCACAUUUCUUGGUUUUCAUCUACACCACACGUAGAUCCUAGGCAAUGCUAUAAAUUCCAUUGUUAGCACAUGUAUCAGUUACUUUGGAUAUCAAUGAGAAUUUUCUUCUUUGCUGAUUCAUUCUUCUCAACCGAGAGAUCCUCUGCCAAAGUCAUCUUCGCUGAUCUUCACUCUAUCUCCUAGCUUUCUUCCAGUUCAUGGAAGCCGUCUGAAGCUAGAUCUCCUUCUACAUAGAUCUUCAACCACACAUCUACUUCACCUUGCAUCCAUUAU